rnacentral:rRNA from 1 species
AGAGAGAGACAUGCGCGCAUAUCAAUAAGCGGAGGAAAAGAAACUAACAAGGAUUCCCUUAGUAACGGCGAGUGAAGCGGGAAGAGCUCAAAUUUGAAAUCUUCAAGGUUUUACCUUGACGAAUUGUAGUUUAAAGAAGUGUUUUCUGCUGAAGUUUUGGUAAAAGUUCUUUGGAAUAGGACAUCAUAGAGGGUGAGAAUCCCGUAUUUGACCAUUAUUUUCAGCUUUGUGAUACACUUUCAAAGAGUCGGAUUGUUUUGGGAAUGCAGUCCGAAAAUGGGUGGUAAAUUUCAUCUAAAGCUAAAUAUUGGCGAGAGACCGAUAGCGAACAAGUACCGUGAGGGAAAGAUGAAAAGAACUUUGAAAAGAGAGUUAAACAGUACGUGAAAUUGUCAAAAGGGAAGUGUUUGACACCAGUGUUGUUUUCUCGAAAAUCAAUUAAAAAUGGCUCGAUUUUGUAUUGCUUGAGACCUUAAAAGCUCACUGUACAUUUUUCGUGUCUUUUUUAAUGCACUUUUCGUUUAACAAGUCAACAUCAGUUUCUUUUGUUGUAAAAGGGUCAUUGGAAGGUGGCUUUCUUUUCGGAGAAAGUGUUUAUAGCCUUUGGCCUCUGCAAUCGGAGAGACUGAGGUCUGCAGCGUAGACUCUUCGGGGUUAGAUACAUUUGUGCUAAGUUAUAGCUUUUUAUAGACAACUUGUUGACUAUAAUUAGUCUUGUAGCUUACUCGCUUAUGCUAUUUUACCUACGCUUAGGAUGUUGAAGAUGUAGCACAUCAU